CAUGGCUCAGUUGGUAGAGCAUGGCGCUUGCAAAUGCCAGGAUUAUGGGUUUGAUUCCCGCUG
rnacentral:tRNA from 1 species